UACGGGGGGGGCAAGCGUUGUUCGGAAUUACUGGGCGUAAAGGGCUCGUAGGCGGCCAACUAAGUCAGACGUGAAAUCCCUCGGCUUAACCGGGGAACUGCGUCUGAUACUGGAUGGCUUGAGUUUGGGAGAGGGAUGCGGAAUUCCAGGUGUAGCGGUGAAAUGCGUAGAUAUCGGGAGGAACACCAGUGGCGAAGGCGGUUGCCUGGAGCUUUGCUGACGCUGAGGCGCGAAAGCGUGGGGAGCGAUCCGG
rnacentral:rRNA from 1 species